UACGUAGGGUGCGAGCGUUAAUCGGAAUUACUGGGCGUAAAGGGUGCGCAGGCGGCGUCGCAAGUCAGGCGUGAAAUCCCCGGGCUUAACCUGGGAACUGCACUUGAAACUACGAUGCUGGAGUAUGGCAGAGGGAGGUGGAAUUCCACGUGUAGCGGUGAAAUGCGUAGAGAUCCGGAGGAACACCAGUGGCGAAGGCGACACGCUGGGCCGUACCUGACACUGAUGCGCGACAGCAUGGGGAGCAAACAGG
rnacentral:rRNA from 1 species